AAAAAGUUUUUUUCUUUUUUUUUUCGAUCGAAUAGUUUGAGAUCCCUCACUUCCCUCGCUUCUUCUCUUAUACCCGGCGAGUGUACCUCUACUUCCCCGUUCUCUGAAUACGAGCCGUUUUAAUUAAAUCAAUAUGCCGAAGCCCCUCAAUAAUCUGCGGAUCCUCAAAAAGAGGACUUCGCGAUUCCGCCGCCACCAUGCCGAGCGAUAUUACAGACUUUCUAGGACCUCGUACAGGAGACCGCGUGGAAUUGACAACCGCAUGAGGCGCAGAAUCAAAGGGACUAGAGCAUUGCCGAGCGUGGGUUAUGGGUCUGAUAAAAGGACACGAUUUUUGCUUCCCUGUCAUUACUACAAGUACCGUGUGAGCAAUGCUAAAGAUCUUGAUGUUCUUCUUAUGCACAAUCGACGAUACGCGGCAGAAGUUGCACACAACGUCUCUGUCAAAAAAAGACGUGAAAUUCUCGAGCGCGCCGCUCAACUCGAUAUCAAAAUAUUGAACCCUCAUGCUCGCCUCCGCACCGAAGAUAGCCAAUAAAGUAAACAUUUCCUCAACCAUUAAAAAAAAA